UUCCCAACGCUGGGCAUGUCUGGCAAUCUCCAGCAGGAUGUGGUGCAGUCUAAAGGCUAGUUCAUUCCCACAUGCAGCUCUGCACAGCGCUUCUCAAGCUCUUUAUUAGUAGCAUAUGGGGCUGCGUAAUUAACAUGUAAACAGAACUUUGGACCCCACAUGAAACAAAUUCCCUUUUGUUUUCAGAGCAAGAUGAAAAAUAUCAGACUCAGCUCUUCAGCUGGAUUCCUUCUCGCUCAGUCCCAGAGUGAGCCGCGCGGCCCGUGGGAAUGUGGCAAAGCAAGCCAGGAGACGCUGCAGAAGGAGAGCCGCUCCAGUGGCAGGGAUGGUGGUUCUAACAUGCUGGAGCUCAGGGGGCAAUGUUGAAGCAAAGUCAGACAGCUCCCCGCGUGACCCACACAGAGUCAGUGGCAGAAUUGGAAAUGGAACCCAGAUCUUGAGUUCCAGGCCUGUACUGAACCAGAAGAGCACCUUUUUCCUAGUAAGGUGACAUGUGUAGCUGGAGGAGGAGCAAUGAGAGACCGGACAAUACCUCUUAAAAGAAAAUGCUGCAAGCAGGACCCAAGGGCUGGGUCUGGAUCCCGGGAGCCACGCUAUGUUGCAGCAGG